rnacentral:rRNA from 1 species
UACGGGGGGAGCAAGCGUUGUUCGGAUUUACUGGGCGUAAAGGGCGCGUAGGCGGUCAGCACAAGUCAGUUGUGAAAUCUCCGGGCUUAACUCGGAAAGGUCAACUGAUACUGUGCGACUAGAGUGCGGAGGGGGCAACUGGAAUUCUCGGUGUAGCGGUGAAAUGCGUAGAUAUCGAGAGGAACACCUGCGGCGAAGGCGGGUUGCUGGGCCGACACUGACGCUGAUGCGCGAAAGCUAGGGGAGCGAACGGG